CAAGCCUAAAAAGCUUGUGGAAUAAGGGCUGGGCAAGACGGGUGCCAGCCGCCGCGGUAAUACCCGCAGCUCGAGUGGUGGUCGCUUUUAUUGAGCCUAAAACGUUCGUAGUCGGCCUUGUAAAUCCCUGGGUAAAUUGGGCCGCUUAACGGUUCAAAUUCCGGGGAGACUGCAAGGCUAGGGACCGGGCGAGGUCAGAGGUACUUUCGGGGUAGGAGUGAAAUCCUGUAAUCCCGAAGGGACCACCUGUGGCGAAAGCGUCUGACUUGAACGGCUCCGACGAUGAGGAACGAAGGCUAGGGGAGCAAACCGGAUUAGAUACCCGGGUAGUCCUAGCUGUAAACUCUGCCCGCUUGGUGUGGCCUGUCCUUCGGGGGCAGGCCGUGCCGGAGCGAAGGUGUUAAGCGGGCUGCUUGGGGAGUACGGCCGCAAGGUUGAAACUUAAAGGAAUUGGCGGGGGAGCACCGCAACGGGAGGAUGCGUGCGGUUUAAUUGGAUUCAACGCCGGAAAACUCACCUGAGGAGACCAGCGUAUGUGGGUCAAGCCGAAGACUUUACCCGAACAACAGCUGGAGAGGUGGUGCAUGGCCAUCGUCAGCUCGUACCGUAGGGCAUUCACUUAAGUGUGAUAACGAGCGAGACCCCCAUUCCUAGUUGCUAACCCCUCCGAAAGGAGAGGUGCACUCUAGGGAGACCGCUUCCGCUAAGGAAGAGGAAGGAGGGGUCGACGGUAGGUCAGUAUGCCCCGAAUCCUCAGGGCAACACGCGCGCUACAAAGGACAGGACAAUGGGUUCCAACCCCGAAAGGGGAAGGUAAUCCCGAAACCUGUUCGUAGUCCGGAUUGAGGGCUGUAACUCGCCCUCAUGAAGGUGGAUUCCGUAGUAAUCGCGGAUCAACAGUCC
rnacentral:rRNA from 1 species